rnacentral:rRNA from 1 species
UACACUCCUGCGGGAGGCAGCAGUGGGGAAUUUUGGACAAUGGGCGAAAGCCUGAUCCAGCAAUGCCGCGUGUGUGAAGAAGGCCUUCGGGUUGUAAAGCACUUUUGUCCGGAAAGAAAUCCUUGGCUCUAAUACAGUCGGGGGAUGACGGUACCGGAAGAAUAAGCACCGGCUAACUACGUGCCAGCAGCCGCGGUAAUACGUAGGGUGCGAGCGUUAAUCGGAAUUACUGGGCGUAAAGCGUGCGCAGGCGGUUUGCUAAGACCGAUGUGAAAUCCCCGGGCUCAACCUGGGAACUGCAUUGGUGACUGGCAGGCUAGAGUAUGGCAGAGGGGGGUAGAAUUCCACGUGUAGCAGUGAAAUGCGUAGAGAUGUGGAGGAAUACCGAUGGCGAAGGCAGCCCCCUGGGCCAAUACUGACGCUCAUGCAUGAAAGCGUGGGGAGCAAACAGGAUUAGAAACCCGUGUAGUCC